rnacentral:lncRNA from 1 species
UAUGUCAUUAUUGUAACCGGGUAUGACACAUUGCACCCGUAUGUUUUGCUAAACUUAGAGAUUCAUAUUUUUAUUAUAAUUAUUAUUUGCCUAACCCCCAAGGACCCAAAAGAAGUUGGGUACCGAAAACCUAUUUUUAGGUACUUUUGCAGGUGUGCUUGAAGACUACAAUAUUGUAGUAGAUGCACCAAGCACGAAACUUUAAUGCAUCGAGGGGGA